GACGAACGCUGGCGGCGUGCUUAACACAUGCAAGUCGAACGGAAAGGCCCUGCUUUUGUGGGGUGCUCGAGUGGCGAACGGGUGAGUAACACGUGAGUAACCUGCCCUUGACUUUGGGAUAACUUCAGGAAACUGGGGCUAAUACCGGAUAGGAGCUCCUGCUGCAUGGUGGGGGUUGGAAAGUCUCGGCGGUUGGGGAUGGACUCGCGGCUUAUCAGCUUGUUGGUGGGGUAGUGGCUUACCAAGGCUUUGACGGGUAGCCGGCAUGAGAGGGUGACCGGCCACAAGGGGACUGAGAUACGGCCCAGACGCGUACGGGAGGCAGCAGUGGGGAAUAUUGCACAGUGGGCGCGAGCCUGAUGCAGAGACGCCGCGUGCGGGAUGACGGCCUUCGGGGUGUGAACCGCUUUCGCCUGUGACGAAGCGUGAGUGACGGUAAUGAGUAAAGAAGCACCGGCUAACUACGUG
rnacentral:rRNA from 1 species